rnacentral:rRNA from 1 species
CGCGUGGGAAUCUACCCAGCUCUACGGAAUAACUCAGGGAAACUUGUGCUAAUACCGUAUACGUCCGAUAGGAGAAAGAUUUAUCGGAGUUGGAUGAGCCCGCGUUGGAUUAGCUAGUUGGUGGGGUAAUGGCCUACCAAGGCGACGAUCCAUAGCUGGUCUGAGAGGAUGAUCAGCCACACUGGGACUGAGACACGGCCCAGACUCCUACGGGAGGCAGCAGUGGGGAAUAUUGGACAAUGGGCGCAAGCCUGAUCCAGCCAUGCCGCGUGAGUGAUGAAGGCCCUAGGGUUGUAAAGCUCUUUCACCGGUGAAGAUAAUGACGGUAACCGGAGAAGAAGCCCCGGCUAACUU